rnacentral:rRNA from 1 species
AGUGAACGCUGGCGGUAGGCCUAACACAUGCAAGUCGAACGGCAGCACAGUAAGAGCUUGCUCUUACGGGUGGCGAGUGGCGGACGGGUGAGGAGUACAUCGGAAUCUACUUUUUCGUGGGGGAUAACGUAGGGAAACUUACGCUAAUACCGCAUACGACCUACGGGUGAAAGCAGGGGAUCUUCGGACCUUGCGCGAUUGAAUGAGCCGAUGUCGGAUUAGCUAGUUGGCGGGGUAAAGGCCCACCAAGGCGACGAUCCGCAGCUGGUCUGAGAGGAUGAUCAGCCACACUGGAACUGAGACACGGUCCAGACUCCUACGGGAGGCAGCAGUGGGGAAUAUUGGACAAUGGGCGCAAGCCUGAUCCAGCCAUACCGCGUGGGUGAAGAAGGCCUUCGGGUUGUAAAGCCCUUUUGUUGGGAAAGAAAAGCAGCAGGUUAAUACCCCGCUGUUCUGACGGUACCCAAAGAAUAAGCACCGGCUAACUUCGUG